AAUUAUAUUUUCACACAAUCAAAUUUCAUUUUUGCAAUAUAUACGGAUAUAAACGCGUUUGAAUCGAUAACAAUAUCAUCAAAUUCCUAAAACUUAGGAUUUGGGUGUUUGAUUUAAAUGGCUAUCAUUCACAUUACCAACAUAAUCCCACAAACUCCAUACUGCUAUCACAAAUCACGCCCUAGCUAAUACGCGUACGAUAUACGGAAGCUAUACAGAUUUUACACCACGUGUCAUUUAAAGAAACAUCUUAAUCCUGUCUUAGUUUAUUGGUUUUCAUUUUUCCAGCAAGAUGGCCUUUAGAUGCGCGACGUAAAUUACUAAAUGAAACGAUCAUGAUUUUUAGGAUGGCCAAUAUGCUAUAUACGCAAUAAUUGACAGUAUUGACGUUGAUAAACCAUGGUGGUACUUUGCUUGCAAGUCUUGCAACAAGAAAGUGAUUCAGGUGAAAAAUGGGGGCAACACUGGUAAUGGAUUAAGGUGCCUAGAAUGUGGAGAUAACCCCAAAUCACUAAUUCCAAAGUUCAAAGUCUGUAUUCGGGUUGUGAAUGACAGCGGGUCGACAUCCUUCACGUUAUUUGACAAUCAUGUCGGAACAUUAAUUGGGAUGAGCACACAUGAUCUUAGGAAAUGAUAUAUAGAUGAUCCUGAUAUUAUCCCCGAUGAGCUCAAUGAAAUUGUGGGUAGAUCUUAUUUGUUCGAGUUCCUAAUAAAUGCUUAUAAUAGGAACGGAGAAUUUCAUUACUAUACCGUCGCCGCUCUCACCAACGAUAGUCAGACCAUUGUGGCUUUCACGAAGGCUUUAAUGUUGACACGGAAGCUAAAGCCGACACAUAUAUACUGGCCCAGAAUGCUACCUACAUUACAUCUAAAUGCAAUUCAGGCAU